rnacentral:rRNA from 1 species
GGCCUAACACAUGCAAGUCGAACGGUAACAGGAAGAGCUUGCUUCUUUGCUGACGAGUGGCGGACGGGUGAGUAAUGUCUGGGAAACUGCCUGAUGGAGGGGGAUAACUACUGGAAACGGUAGCUAAUACCGCAUAACGUCGCAAGACCAAAGAGGGGGACCUUCGGGCCUCUUGCCAUCGGAUGUGCCCAGAUGGGAUUAGCUGUAGGUGGGGUAACGGCUCACCUAGGCGACGAUCCCUAGCUGGUCUGAGAGGAUGACCAGCCACACUGGAACUGAGACACGGUCCAGACUCCUACGGGAGGCAGCAGUGGGGAAUAUUGCACAAUGGGCGCAAGCCUGAUGCAGCCAUGCCGCGUGUAUGAAGAAGGCCUUCGGGUUGUAAAGUACUUUCAGCGGGGAGGAAGGGAGUAAAGUUAAUACCUUUGCUCAUUGACGUUACCCGCAGAAGAAGCACCGGCUAACUCCGUGCCAGCAGCCGCGGUAAUACGGAGGGUGCAAGCGUUAAUCGGAAUUACUGGGCGUAAAGCGCACGCAGGCGGUUUGUUAAGUCAGAUGUGAAAUCCCCGGGCUCAACCUGGGAACUGCAUCUGAUACUGGCAAGCUUGAGUCUCGUAGAGGGGGGUAGAAUUCCAGGUGUAGCGGUGAAAUGCGUAGAGAUCUGGAGGAAUACCGGUGGCGAAGGCGGCCCCCUGACGAAGAC